UGCCAGCCGCCGCGGUAACACGUAGGGGGCAAGCGUUGUCCGGAUUUAUUGGGCGUAAAGAGCUCGUAGGUUGCUCGGUAAGUCGGGUGUGAAAUUUCAGGGCUCAACCCUGAAACGCCACCUGAUACUGCCGUGGCUAGAGUUCGGUAGAGGAGCGUGGAAUUCCUGGUGUAGCGGUGAAAUGCGCAGAUAUCAGGAGGAACACCAACGGCGAAGGCAGCGCUCUGGGCCGAUACUGACACUGAGGAGCGAAAGCAUGGGGAGCAAACAGGAUUAGAUA
rnacentral:rRNA from 1 species